GCAAGCUCAGUAAGGGCAAAUGGUGGAUGCCUUGGUAGCUGGAGGCGAUGAAGGACGUGAUAGGCUGCGAUAAGCCUCGGGGAGCCGCCGAGUGGGCAUCGAUCCGGGGAUUUCCGAAUGGGGCAACCCACCGCACGGAAGGUGCGGUAUUGCAGACCGAACUGAGUAGGUCUGCAAAGCGAACCUGGGGAAGUGAAGCAUCUCAGUACCCAGAGGAAGAGAAAUCUAUAAGAGAUUCCCUGAGUAGCGGCGAGCGAAACGGGAUCAGCCUAAACCACAAUUGCUUGCUUUUGUGGGGUUGUAGGGCAGCUCAUUGCGGAGUUACAAAAAGAAGGUCUAGCCGAACAGCCUGCAAAGCCACUGGAAAGGGCGACCAGAGACGGUGAUAGUCCCGUAGGCGAAAGGCUUUCUUCUCCCGAGCUGUACCUGAGUAACGUCGGACCCGAGAAAUCUGGCGUGAAUCUAGGGGGACCACCCUCUAAGGCUAAAGACUCCCAGCUAACCGAUAGUGGAUAUAGUACCGCGAGGGAAAGGUGAAAAGAACCCCUGACGGGGAGUGAAAUAGAGUCUGAAACCAUUUGCCUACAGACAGUGGGAGGGGACCUGCGACCCCAAUUACGGCCCGAUGCCGCAAGGCGGAGGGACGCGGAUGGACGCGGGCCUGACCACAUGCCUUUUGCAGUAUGAUCCGGCGAGUCGUUCUCCGUGGCAAGGUUAAGUCCCGUUUGUGGGAUGGAGCCGUAGCGAAAGCGAGUCUUAAUAGGGCGAUAGUCACUGGGAACGGACCCGAAGCCAGGCGAUCUACCCAUGGCCAGGUUGAACUUUGAGUAAAAUCAAAGGAAGGACCGAACCCUUGGAGGAGGAAAACUCUUGGGAUGAGCUGUGGGUAGCGGUGAAAAGCCGGACGGGCCCUGGUAAUAGCUGGUUCUCCCCGAAAUAGCUUUAGGGCUAGCCUCAUCUUAGAAAUCAAUGGGGGUAGAGCACUGGAUGGGUGCGGCGCAAGCCAAACCCAACCAAACUCCGAAUACCAUUGGUGGAUCGAUGGGAGUCAGACCGUGGGGGAUAACGUUCACGGUCAAAAGGGAAACGGCCCACACCGACAGCUAAGGCCCCAAAGACUGGACUAAGUUGGAAAGGAUGUUUUUUCGCUAAGACAGCCGGGAGGUUGGCUCAGAAGCAGCCAUCCUUUAAAGAGUGCGUAAUAGCUCACCGUUCGAGUGAAGAAGCGCCGAAGAUGUAACGGGGAUUAAGUCCAGCGCCGAAGCUACGGAUUUGGAAGGCUCACGGGCUUUCCAAGUGGUAGGGGAGCGUUCUCCGCGGAGAGAAGCCGACUCGUAAGACGAGGUGGACCGCGGAGAAGUGAGAAUGCCGGAAUGAGUAGCGCGAGCUGAGUGAGAAUCUCGGCCACCGAAUGCCUAAGGGUUCCUGGGGAAGGCUUAUCCUCCCAGGGUUAGGCGAUCCUAAGGAAAACCCGAGAGGGGUAUCCGAUGGACAGCCGGUUAAUAUUCCGGCCCUUCUGCCAUGCGUUGACUAUGGGGAGACGCCGCAGGUCGGGACGAGCGGGGUGACGGACAUCCCCGUGCAAGCACCAAGACAUCAGGUUUCAGGCAAAUCCGGGACCUGGCUAAGUCAAGGUGUGAUGCGGAGGGCCUACGGGCCCGAAGAAAGUCUGAUCAGCGGUCAAGAAAAACCUCUAAGGAGCAUGGUAGAAACCGUACCGCAAACUAACACAGGUAGGCGAGGCGAGAAGCCUCAGGUGGGCGAGUGAAGCCUCGUUAAGGAACUCGGCAAAUUGGCCCCGUAACUUCGGGAAAAGGGGCGCCCUCCGCAAGGAGGGUCGCAGAGACCAGGCUCAGGCGACUGUUUAGUAAAAACACAGCUCUCUGCUAACUCGAAAGAGGAUGUAUAGAGAGUGAAACCUGGCCACUGCUGGAAGGUCAAGGGGAGGGGUGCAAGCUCCGAACCGAAGCCCCAGUGAAGGCCGGCCGUAACUAUAACGGUCCUAAGGUUUUAGCGAGCCUUAGUAAAAUCUGGCUAUAUGCGGGAAAGUCCUUAGAGCUUCAUCUACGAAGUUGGGGAUCAGAGAAAAAGGGGAGUUGCGGGUUCGAGUCCCGUCACCUCCACCAGUAUUUAGUCGAAUAUUGGGGGUGUAACUCAAUUGGUAGAGUACCCUUUUUUCCCUGGUCCUCAGCCCGUAACAAUGGUGAAGAUUGGGUAAUCCGCAGGAAACCUCAAAGAUCUAUUUGAGGGAUCCUCAGAGACUACACGCCAGACGCUAAAUAACGCGAAGAUAUAGUCCGAGCCUCCGGGAGACCGGAGGAGGUGAAGCGAAAUCUUCAUCCGCCUGCGACAUUGCAGGUUCGUAAGGCGGCAACGCCUGAAAGUAACAGAACUGAGCGAAGUUCCUUGUCGGGUAAGUUCCGACGCGCAUGAAUGGCACAACGACUUGAGCACUGUCUUAACGAGGACCUCGGCGAAUUUGAAGUGCCGGUGAAAAUGCCGGCAACCCGCAGCAGGACGGAAAGACCCCGUGGAGCUUUACUGGAGUUUGGCAUUGGGUUUUGAUAGUCACUGUGUAGGAUAGGUGGGAGCCUAUGAAACUGGGGCGCUAGCCUCGGUGGAGGCAACGUUGAAAUACCACCCUUUGAGUCUUAGAACUCUAACCGACCGCCGUGACAAGCGGCGGAGGAACCGUGCUAAGCGGACAGUUUGACUGGGGCGGUCGCCUCCCAAAGAGUAACGGAGGCGCACAAAGGUUGGCUCAAGUGGGUUGGCGAUCCACUGUCGAGUGCAAGGGCACAAGCCAGCUUAACUGAGAGGCAGACAUGCCAAUCAGAUGCGAAAGCAGGUCCUAGUGACCCGGUGGUCCCGCGUGGAAGGGCCAUCGAUCAUCGGAUAAAAGUUACCCCGGGGAUAACAGGCUAGUACUCUCCGAGAGUCCACAUCGACGAGAGUGUUCGGCACCUCGAUGUCGGCCCAUCUCAUCCUGGGGCUGAAGCAGGUCCCAAGGGUCCGUCUGUUCGCCGGUUAAAGAGGUACGCGAGCUGGGUUUAGACCGUCGCAAGACAGGUCGGUCCAUAUCCGCUGUGGGCGUAGGAGACUUGAGAGGCACUUUCUUUAGUACGAGAGGACCAAGAAGGCUGGACCUCUGGUGUACCAGUUGGCCUGCCAAGGCCAUCGCUGGGUAGCUACCGUCUGGACGGGAUAAGCGCUGAAGGCAUCUAAGCGCGAAGCCCACCUCAAGAAUAGGUCUCCGUGUCAGGUAUUCUUCGGAAUACCUGAAAUAAGAUUCCUGCGAGACAAGCAGGUUGAUAGGCUACAGGUGUAAGCGUAGUAAUACGUUCAGCCAAGUAGUACUAAUCGAUCGAACGCUUGU
rnacentral:rRNA from 1 species